CUCGAGGAUCCGGGCAUUCUUGGGAGACGCCGACUGAGAGACAACAGCCCGCUGCCGGCGGGAAAUUCCUCGAGGGCAAGGCGGCCUUGUUUUGCACCCGACGCUGAUUGGCAUUCCCAGACAUCAAAGAGAUAAGUGGAGGGCUGUGAGCCACAGAGGGGUUGAAAGCGGGGCGGGUGGUCAGGAGUUAGCGGGAGGGUUUUUUGAGUCCGAUUUGCAUUCCGGGAUGGCGAAGGUGUGGCCCCUUAGGCUACCUAAAGGGAAAGUCUCACUUUUGAUUUUGGUGCUGAGCUGUGCAGGGCAGAGCAGUCCCAGGCUAUGUGGAGUCACUUGUCUAUUGUGCACUCUGUGUCUUUUGGGCAUCUCACAUUUCGUGUCGCUUUCCGUAGCCCUGCAAGGGACCUUUUGGAAACCCUGGCUUUGGUCUUAGCAUUUGGGAUCUCUGCGUUCCUUGGCUCAGCGCCUUUAACUCAGGAGCAUGCACAUGUGUUGGAAUUGCAUCCCUCUUCAGAAGCAUCCAGUCCGAGGUCUUUUCAUGUCUUGUUCUGAGCUGUACUGACAGCUGUGCACCGCAAUGAUCCCUUAUGGCAGAUUAGGCCUUGUAAGAAUGCCGAGCUAGGUCGAGGUAUCUGACCGUAGGGUUCUCGGGCAUCCAUCUUUGCGGUUCUCGGAUGAAGCAGUUCUGUUGGCAUCUUCUUGCUGCCGGGUUCUUUGAGCCUCAUCGGCUCCCCAUCGGUCUUAGCUCAGUCAUCUCCUUCCUCAUUCUCUCGGCCCUCAGGGUCCUUCUUCUUGCCGAGCCUUUUUUCUGUCCCUGUUGUGUCCUUCUCAUUGGUGGUGUCCUGUGUCACAGGUGUCACGGUGUGCGUUUGGCCCUGCGCUGCUCUGCCCUGCUGCGUGGCCUGGGUGUAGGGGUAAUAGGACAUGUCCUGGGGACUUGAAAUUUGCAGUGUAGGGUGUAGUGGGAGUGUAGAGGGUAUUUCUAGAUGGGCACAAGAUGCCUGGAGCUUUUAAGUUAUCCUGCAGCUCUCUGACUUUUGUCCUAAAUUUCUUUCAGAUGCGGAUGGAUUAGAUCCGUGGCAGAGCCCACCAAGGAGGAAACAGUUGUUCGUGAGAGACUUGCACACUGAAGUUUGAGGAGGACAGAAGUCUUUGUAUUGAUGGAAAGAGGAACACCAGGGAAAAACUUCUGCUUGUGUCCUCAGAGAGCAGUGGGAAGAGCCCAAGAGAAAUAUUGGCUGCUUGAGGGAUCCUUGUGUCCGCUCUGGAAUAAAUCCCUGCGUCUCCUCAGACCUGCUCGUUUGCAGCACAGUUUGGACACAUUUUGCUGCUAUGUUGGUUCUUAAGAAUUGGAAAUCCCUGGAUUUCUGGAUGAUUUCCAUAGGUUCUCCUAUUUAGUAGGAGCUGCAGAGUGAGGUAGUUGGCAAAAAUGGAGAGAGCCACUGGGAAGCAAAGCCACUGGAAGGCCUUAUACCCAGUCCAAGGUUCCUACUUUUCUCUCUGAUGCCUGGAUAAUUGCUUGACCAUAACCAGAGACUGUCCAUUUGAUUUUCCAAUAAAUGGUUACUUUCAGCUGGAGUGUGUUCCUGGGGUCAUCCUCCUCCUUCUCUGUUGGAACGGCAUGCAAUGUUAACAAUGGCAACGGCAUGUUGUUAACACGGAGGCAGGAGGUCUGCAGUGAAAGGCUGCUCCCCAAAAAGAGGGCCAGCCUGUUUAUUUCUUCCAUUUUUAUACGUUUGUGGGUCUGGUUAUGGAUUGGCUUCUGAGGUUACUACCCCUUCACCCCACUGGCCAGACCAGCUGUCAACCAACAUUAUUUUCAGGCUAGAAAUAUGUAAACAAAGGACUGUGAACAAAAACAAGAACGGUUGCUUAUGUUCCAAAGUGUGAGAAAAUGAAAAACUGACCCUUCAUAUUGAACAGAAACUAAAGAUCUGACUCCAUCUUAUGAACAAGUAGAAGGCUUUAAAAAAACUCAGAAAAGCCAGGGCAACACUCCUCCUCCAUGGAUUUGUAAAUAAAGUUCCUGACUUUUGCCAAGUAGACUUUUGUUAUUCUGAGAAUUGUGGCUCUUUUGUUCCGUUGAAACUUCCCCCCUCUGCCGAGAGUUUCAGAUGUCAAAUACAAGUAAGACUGGAGUUUCUUUGCAUUGUUACUCCCACAAAAUACAGAUCAUUCUUGGAUAGGAGAAACUUGACAUGUUUAGUUCACGCUACCCUUUAAAAUCAGAGCAGAGGAAGCAGAUUUUAAAUAAUCAUGAGCUUCCACCAACUUCCUGCCUGUUCCAAAAGUUUUUACUUAUAGAAAUUCCUGAGGUUGUUUUCCAGGCAAGUUGGGAUUUACAUGUUAUUCGUUCCUUUUAUUUGAUGUUUUUCCUCUCUCUGAUUUUAGUUAGGGAAUAUUUAUUUCUUCGAUUAUUCCAUACUAAUUGGAAUUUUUGUACAGCUUAGGGCACAUUGCCAAGGAAAUGUACCAAAUUAAUGUUAGUAAAUCAAGCAUUGUUCAGCACCAUAUCCACAGAAUUCUGUAAAUUCCCAGGAAAACUUGCUGAGUCUUUAGAUGCCAUAAUGAAUCUCUCUGUAAAGUUAAAUUUACUGCAUUUUAAAUUACAUGAAUCCCAUUAAAACUUAAAUCCUGGCCUAAUUGCUGUUCCUUGGAUGCCAUGUUGUGGUUCUUUCCUGUCUUGGUACAUUUGUUUCCCACUAAAAUAGAAUUUGUUUCCAAGCAAAACUAGUAAUUGUCUCCCUUAUUUUCUGGGAGGCACUGGGGUUUUUUCCCCUAUCCCUACAUCACUGAGGAUGCUCCCAGAGCUGUGUUAGGCAAGGGCAUGAUGUGAGAACGACAUUUAUUUAAUUUUGUAUUUUUUUAACUUAUUGUUUAGUGUAUUUUUUUUAAUGGUUUGUUUUUGGGGUUUAUUUCUUAUGAAUUUCUUCUUUUUUAUGGUAUUAUUUUAUUUUGUUCUAUUUUUAAAUUUUAUUUUAUGUUUUGCAUUUUUAAAUGUUUUUAUUUGUUAUUUAAUUUUAUUUAAAUUUAUUAUUUGUCUUUUACUUUUCAAAAUCAUUUGUAAAUUGUUUUAAUUUUUUUAUAUUUGUUUAUAGGUUAAUAAUUUUUAA